CCUACGGGAGGCAGCAGUGAGGAAUAUUGGUCAAUGGGCGCGAGCCUGAACCAGCCAAGUAGCGUGAAGGAUGACUGCCCUACGGGUUGUAAACUUCUUUUAUAAAGGAAUAAAGUGAGGCACGUGUGCCUUUUUGUAUGUACUUUCUGAAUAAGGCUCGGCGAACUCAGUGCCAGAAGCCGCGGUAAUACGGAGGAUCAGAGCGUUAUCCGGAUUUAUUGGGUUUAAAGGGCGCGUAGAUGGGUAGUGAAGUCAGUUGUGAAAGUUUGCGGCUCAACCGUAAAAUUGCAAUUGAUACUGGCAGCCUUGAGUACAGUUGAGGUAGGCGGAAUGCGUGGUGUAGCGGUGAAAUGAUUAGAUAUCACGAAGAACUCCGAUUGCGAAGGCAGCUUACUAAACUGCCACUGACAUUGAUGCUCGAAAGUGUGGGUAUCAAACAGGAUUAGAUACCCUAGUAGUC
rnacentral:rRNA from 1 species